AUGCAGCAACGCCGCGUGCGGGAUGACGGCCUUCGGGUUGUAAACCGCUUUCGCCUGGGAGGAAGCGUGAGUGACGGUAAUGGGUAAAGAAGCACCGGCUAACUACGUGCCAGCAGCCGCGGUGAUACGUAGGGUGCGAGCGUUGUCCGGAUUUAUUGGGCGUAAAGGGCUCGUAGGUGGUUGAUCGCGUCGGAAGUGUAAUCUUGGGGCUUAACCCUGAGCGUGCUUUCGAUACGGGUUGACUUGAGGAAGGUAGGGGAGAAUGGAAUUCCUGGUGGAGCGGUGGAAUGCGCAGAUAUCAGGAGGAACACCAGUGGCGAAGGCGGUUCUCUGGGCCUUUCCUGACGCUGAGGAGCGAAAGCGUGGGGAGCGAACAGGCUUAGAUACCCUGGUAGUCCACGCUGUAAACGGUGGGUACUAGGUGUGGGGUCCAUUCCACGGGUUCCGUGCCGUAGCUAACGCUUUAAGUACCCCGCCUGGGGAGUACGGCCGCAAGGCUAAAACUCAAAGGAAUUGACGGGGCCCCGCACAAGCGGCGGAGCAUGCGGAUUAAUUCGACGCAACGCGUAGAACCUUACCUGGGUUUGACAUGGAUCGGGAGUGCUCAGAGAUGGGUGUGCCUCUUUUGGGGUCGGUUCACAGGUGGUGCAUGGCUGUAGUCAGCUCGUGUCGUGAGAUGUUGGGUUAAGUCCCGCAACGAGCGCAACCCUUGUUCACUGUUGCCAGCACGUUAUGGUGGGGACUCAGUGGAGACCGCCGGGGUCAACUCGGAGGAAGGUGGGGAUGACGUCAAGUCAUCAUGCCCCUUAUGUCCAGGGCUUCACGCAUGCUACAAUGGCUGGUACAGAGAGUGGCGAGCCUGUGAGGGUGAGCGAAUCUCGGAAAGCCGGUCUCAGUUCGGAUUGGGGUCUGCAACUCGACCUCAUGAAGUCGGAGUCGCUAGUAAUCGCAGAUCAGCAACGCUGCGGUGAAUACGUUCCCGGGGCUUGUACACACCGCCCGUCAAGUCAUGAAAGUUGGUAACACCCGAAGCCGGUGGCCUAACCGUUGUGGGGGAGCCGUCGAAGG
rnacentral:rRNA from 1 species